UACGGGGGGGGGCAAGCGUUGUUCGGAAUUACUGGGCGUAAAGGGCUCGUAGGCGGCCAACUAAGUCGGAUGUGAAAUCCCCAGGCUUAACUUGGGAACUGCAUCCGAUACUGGAUGGCUUGAAUCCGGGAGAGGGAUGUGGAAUUCCACGUGUAGCGGUGAAAUGCGUAGAGAUGUGGAGGAGCACCAGUGGCGAAGGCGACUUUCUGGGCUGUAACUGACGCUGAGGUGCGAAAGCGUGGGGAGCAAACAGG
rnacentral:rRNA from 1 species